CCACCAUCUCAUGAGCAACACCCACAGCCACCCUACCAUUACAAACCACCUUUCCAUGGCCCCAAAGUCCCUCCAUAUUACUACAAAUCCCCCCCCAUCUCCACCACCACCUUAUGUCUACAAGUCUCCUCCUCCCCCUUCUCCUUCACCACCACCUCCACCCCCACCAUCACCUUCCCCACCUCCACCCUAUGUUUACAAGUCACCACCACCACCAUCACCCUCACCACCACCUCCAUAUGUUUAUAAAUCUCCACCUCCUCCAUCACCCUCCCCUCCCCCACCAUAUGUUUAUAAGUCUCCACCCCCACCAUCACCCUCCCCACCACCUCCA
rnacentral:lncRNA from 1 species